rnacentral:misc_RNA from 1 species
GUUAAAUUAAAGUCAGAUAUAUUAAUAUAAAAUAUUAUAAUUUGGUAACUAUAAUUAGAGAGAUAAAUUAAAAAGAAAAAAAGAAAAAUAGUUAGAUAAGAUUUUAUGUGUAUUUCUUAUAGUAAAAAUAAAAUAAAAUCAUAAGUUUUGAAACUAUAGGUUUAAUGACUCUUUAAAAAAAGAAUGGACCGAAUCCAUUAAUUAUUCACUAUUGAAUUGUAAGAUUCAAUCACUAUUUAGAAGGCGAGAAAUGCUGUAAUAUUUAAUUCAAUCCUGCUAGACCCCAUUGCUACUAUAAAAAAGACCCAGAAUGCUGAUGAUGAGCUGCAAAAAGUAGGCUGUUCCGCAACAUCAUUCUUUGCCAAACGUUGACAGUCCGGCUGUGCAUCGCCAAGUUGAUUGACUACCUUCUAUUUCGGGUACUUUUAAAGUGAAUGUCGAUGCCUCUUUUGAUUGGGACUUUUCUACUGUUGGGUAUGGGGUGAUUGUUCGAAACUCUUCUCGUUCUGUGAUUGAUGGUAGUGCUGCAUCUUUUUCUUGUAUCUCCCCACUUGCGGCAGAAGGAUUGCUCUCAGAUCAGCUGUUCACUUUGCAAGCAGCAGUGGCUUCUCUCAUGUGAUUUUUGAAUUUUAUUGUCUUCAAUUAACCAAGGUUCUGGUCUCCAUCUGGCUCCUAUCGAGUUAGAGGCUGUCGUUCAUUUGUUAGCUUCCUGUCCUUCUUGGCCUGUCAAUUUUAUUCCUAGAACUGCUAAUAUUUGUGCCAAUUGGGUUGCUGUCAAUGUAAGGUUGGGUUCUCUUUUGUCGGGCUAGGUUUCCAACCCCACUCUUCAGUUAGCUGUUCCCAUCGAUAAGGUUAGGUUGUAAU